rfam:Triticum aestivum genome assembly, contig: Triticum_aestivum_CS42_TGACv1_scaffold_220599_3B
AUAGUGUCGAGAGUACCGGCAACAAUAUUAAUACUGUUGAUCCUACUGUUCUUAUUAGUUUAAUAUCUGAUACGUGGGCCAUGUGCCCACAACGAUAUUAAAUUUAGUUUUUAUGGGGAAGUGUCCAUCACAAUGGCUUGCCAUUGGGGCUCUCAUGUGUCGCCUGGGCGUUGCACUACUGCCCAGGCAGGUGCACCUCAA